rnacentral:rRNA from 1 species
AAUGGGGGCAACCCUGAUCCAGCCAUGCCGCGUGAGUGAAGAAGGCCUUCGGGUUGUAAAGCUCUUUCGGCCGGGAAGAAAUCGCAUGGGUGAAUACCCUGUGUGGAUGACGGUACCGGAACAAGAAGCACCGGCUAACUACGUGCCAGCAGCCGCGGUAAUACGUAGGGUGCGAGCGUUAANCGGAAUUACUGGGCGUAAAGCGUGCGCAGGCGGCUUUUUAAGCCAGAUGUUAAAUCCCCGGGCUUAACCUGGGAACUGCAUUUGGAACUGGAAGGCUAGAGUGUAGCAGAGGGGGGUAGAAUUCCACGUGUAGCAGUGAAAUGCGUAGAUAUGUGGAGGAAUACCGAUGGCGAAGGCAGCCCCCUGGGUUAACACUGACGCUCAUGCACGAAAGCGUGGGGAGCAAA